UGAACGCUGGCGGCGUGCCUAAUACAUGCAAGUCGAGCGAACGGACGAGAAGCUUGCUUCUCUGAUGUUAGCGGCGGACGGGUGAGUAACACGUGGAUAACCUACCUAUAAGACUGGGAUAACUUCGGGAAACCGGAGCUAAUACCGGAUAAUAUUUUGAACCGCAUGGUUCAAAAGUGAAAGACGGUCUUGCUGUCACUUAUAGAUUGAUCCGCGCUGCAUUAGCUAGUUGGUAAGGUAACGGCUUACCAAGGCAACGAUGCAUAGCCGACCUGAGAGGGUGAUCGGCCACACUGGAACUGAGACACGGUCCAGACUCCUACGGGAGGCAGCAGUAGGGAAUCUUCCGCAAUGGGCGAAAGCCUGACGGAGCAACGCCGCGUGAGUGAUGAAGGUCUUCGGAUCGUAAAACUCUGUUAUUAGGGAAGAACAUAUGUGUAAGUAACUGUGCACAUCUUGACGGUACCUAAUCAGAAAGCCACGGCUAACUACGUG
rnacentral:rRNA from 1 species